GAGAGAGUUUAGUUUUAGCUUAUAUAUGAUGUCUUAUCUCCCAAAAAUUCUUUUAUCUUGCACAAAAGCUCAAAUUAUAAUAAAAUCCUUCAAAAUAUUUUCUUUCCGCAAAAGUUGUUUUUAUCCUAAACUUUGGAAAUUCAUAUCUCUUGUACCAACCGUUGAAUUUUUUAAAAAUUUCUAUUUAAUAUAGAUUCUAUCCUUAAGCUUUACUACAAAACAAAUGAACCAUAAAUCUAUAAUCGAUCUUCUAGCAUCUUUGAAAUCCUAGCAAGUACUCUAAAUUCUAAUCUACAAGUAUCUAAAAACUAUUUUCUUUAUAUCUCAAAAAUCCAAAAUCUAAAUGUCACAAAAUUUAUACAUAAAGUUAGUAAUAUGAUUACACACACUUUAUAAUAAAUUUAGCCAAAAUCUUAUCAAAUUGCUCAAGAUGUAGCUCAAAAUACAACCACUAGUAAAUCAUAUCACUUACUACCUUAAGAUUUGAAAUGCUGACUUCAACUUCUAAUAUCUUCUUUAUUCUUAUUUUGACUUUGUCCCAUCUUCUUUUUUCCUACUAUUCUUUACAUUCAUCUUUUCUUCCUAUCUUUUCUUAGGAAGUGGUGUAUUACUUGGAUGUGAAGAAAAAGGCUCUAUUUCUUGUCUUUACCUUGUAAGGCUUGCUAGUCCUUGUUUUAGUGAAGGAUCUUUGAUAAUAGGUGACCAUUUUUUUUUUUUGGCCUUUCUACUUCUUCUCUCUUAUCA
rnacentral:lncRNA from 1 species